GGAGAGAUGGCAGAGUGGUCGAAUGCGGCUGUCUUGAAAACAGUUGUGCUGAGAGGCACCGGGGGUUCGAAUCCCUCUCUCUCCG
rnacentral:tRNA from 1 species